ACAGCGCGGCAUUAGGAAGGAUUCGCGUGCGCUGUGUUGCCGAACCGCUCCGUCCAUUCCGCAAAAUGAUGCAAGGCACCCGAGUACAAUCAUCUCCGAUUUCUGCAGCACGAAAGUUUGCAGAUGGAGUGAUGACUGUAAUGGGAUAUAUUAUGUGGCCCCCCGACGCUCACGACUCUACGACUCCUAGCACUAGCUCAAGUGUUCAAGCAGGAGACCCCGGAAAAACUACGCCACAAAGGAGUGGCUGAAGGAGUCCCGACUCGGCUGUGUCCAAGACGGAGACCAGCGCCAAGACCAGCAAGCAGUCGAAGAAGAGCCGUGAGCCUCGCGACGAUGGUGGCGCGAGAGAUGCGCAGAAAACUCCGGAAGGGGUCGCUGCUUCACCCGACGCUCAGGAGAAGCCGCAGCCCGAGCUCCCCCUUCCAGCGCUGCCUUCCACUUCCAGCGACCAGAUCCCGGUUCGCCU